rnacentral:rRNA from 1 species
GACAGAGGUGGCGAGCGUUUUUCGGAAUCACUGGGCUUAAAGGGCGAGUAGGCGGUAGGGCAAGUCUGAGGUGGAAUCCUAUGGCUCAACCAUAGAACUGCCUUGGAAACUGUUCUACUUGAGUCAGUGAGGGGAGGGCGGAAUUCCCGGUGUAGCGGUGAAAUGCGUAGAUAUCGGGAGGAAGGCCGGUGGCGAAGGCGGCCCUCUGGCGCUGUACUGACGCUGAGGCGCGAAAGCGUGGGGAGCAAACAGG